AUUGAACGCUGGCGGAAUGCUUUACACAUGCAAGUCGAACGGUAGAGGGGGCAACCCCUCGAGAGUGGCGAACGGGUGAGUAAUAUAUCGGAACGUGCCCAGCCGUGGGGGAUAACGUAGCGAAAGUUACGCUAAUACCGCAUACGAUCUAAGGAUGAAAGCGGGGGAUCGCAAGACCUCGCGCGAUUGGAGCGGCCGAUAUCAGAUUAGGUAGUUGGUGGGGUAAAGGCUCACCAAGCCAACGAUCUGUAGCUGGUCUGAGAGGACGACCAGCCACACUGGAACUGAGACACGGUCCAGACUCCUACGGGAGGCAGCAGUGGGGAAUUUUGGACAAUGGACGCAAGUCUGAUCCAGCCAUUCCGCGUGCAGGAUGAAGGCCCUCGGGUUGUAAACUGCUUCUGUACGGAGCGAAAAGGUCUCUCUUAAUACGGGGGACUCAUGACGGUACCGUAAGAAUAAGCACCGGCUAACUACGUGCCAGCCGCCGCAGUAAGAC
rnacentral:rRNA from 1 species